rnacentral:rRNA from 1 species
GAUGAACGCUGGCGGCGUGCCUAAUACAUGCAAGUCGAGCGAACAGACGAGGAGCUUGCUCCUUCGACGUUAGCGGCGGACGGGUGAGUAACACGUAGGUAACCUACCUAUAAGACUGGGAUAACUUCGGGAAACCGGAGCUAAUACCGGAUAAUAUUUCGAACCGCAUGGUUCGAUAGUGAAAGAUGGCUUUGCUAUCACUUAUAGAUGGACCUGCGCCGUAUUAGCUAGUUGGUAAGGUAACGGCUUACCAAGGCAACGAUACGUAGCCGACCUGAGAGGGGUAUCGGCCACACUGGAACUGAGACACGGUCCAGACUCCUACGGGAGGCAGCAGUAGGGAAUCUUCCGCAAUGGGCGAAAGCCUGACGGAGCAACGCCGCGUGAGUGAUGAAGGUCUUCGGAUCGUAAAACUCUGUUAUUAGGGAAGAACAAACGUGUAAGUAACUGUGCACGUCUUGACGGUACCUAAUCAGAAAGCCACGGCUAACUACGUGCCAGCCGCCGCUGUAACAC